CCUACGGGAGGCAGCAGUGAGGAAUAUUGGUCAAUGGGCGCGAGCCUGAACCAGCCAAGUAGCGUGAAGGAUGACUGCCCUACGGGUUGUAAACUUCUUUUAUAAAGGAAUAAAGUGAGGCACGUGUGCCUUUUUGGAUGUACUUUAUGAAUAAGGAUCGGCUAACUCCGUGCCAGCAGCCGCGGUAAUACGGAGGAUCAGGGCGUUAUCCGGAUUUAUUGGGUUUAAAGGGAGUGUAUAUGGGUUGUUAAGUCAGUUGUGAAAGUGUGCUGCUAAACCGUAAAAUUUCAAUUGAUACUGGCGGUUUGAGGUACGGUGGGGGUAGGCGAAAU
rnacentral:rRNA from 1 species